rnacentral:sRNA from 1 species
CUUUAAACACAAACCCGAACGAGGUACUAGAAAAGAGAAAUAAGAUUCGGGAACAAAAUCGAUAUGACUUGAAAACAGCAGGACCACAAUCUCAGUUGCUUGCUGGAAUUGUUGUGGAUAAGCCACCUCCUACUAUGCAAUUUGAAGAUGAUGAUCAUGGCCCACCAGCUCCUCCUAACCCAUUUAGUCAUCUCACAGAAGGAGAACUUGAAGAGUAUAAGAAGACAAUCGAACGUAAACAACAAGGCCUAGAAGAUGCUGAGCAGGAAUUACUCUCAGAUGACGCUUCAUCUGUUUCACAAAUUCAGUCUCAAACUCAGUCACCGCAAAAUGUCCCUGAAAAAUUAGAAGGUACUCAAUGUAAUUUCCCACAUAGCAUUCACUGAGUUAGUCUUGAGUCUGUCCCUCUGUGUUUUGUUUUCAUGUGAGGAAGUUGAAUACCUCAUCACAGUAAGUUUUCCAUAUUUUACUUAUAUCUCCCAAUAAUUACAUAUUUUAUAUCGUUAAAAAUGAGGCGCUACUUUUAUUCAGCAUUUAUAUUGAUUUACCUUAAUCUGAAUUUUGGCAACCCACAGUUCUUAAGAAUUUGUGGAAUUGGCUGGGCACGGUGGCUCACGCCUGUAAUCCCAGCACUUUGGGAGGCUGAGGCAGGUAGAUCACGAGGUCAGGAGAUCAAGA